AGUGAACGCUGGCGGUAGGCCUAACACAUGCAAGUCGAACGGCAGCACAGUAAGAGCUUGCUCUUACGGGCGGCGAGUGGCGGACGGGUGCGGAAUACACCGGAAUCUACUUUUUCGCGGGGGAUAACGUUGGGAAAUUCACGCUACUACCGCAUACUACCUACGGGUGACAGCAGGGGAUCUCCGGACUUUGCCGGCUUGUAUGAGCUGAUGUCGGAUUAGCUAGUUGGCGGGGUAAAGGCCCACCAAGGCAACGAUCCGUAGCUGGUCUGAGAGGAUGAUCAGCCACACUGGAACUGAGACACGGUCCAGACUCCUACGGGAGGCAGCAGUGGGGAAUAUUGGACAAUGGGCGCAAGCCUGAUCCAGCCAUACCGCGUGGGUGAAGAAGGCCUUCGGGUUGUAAAGCCCUUUUGUAGGGAAAGAAAAGCAGCAGGUUAAUACCCCGCUGUUCUGACGGUACCCAAAGAAUAAGCACCGGCUAACUUCGUG
rnacentral:rRNA from 1 species